rnacentral:siRNA from 1 species
UGGUGGCUGCCUCUUCUGG